rnacentral:rRNA from 1 species
GACGAACGCUGGCGGCGUGCCUAAUACAUGCAAGUAGAACGCUGAAGAGAGGAGCUUGCUCUUCUUGGAUGAGUUGCGAACGGGUGAGUAACGCGUAGGUAACCUGCCUUGUAGCGGGGGAUAACUAUUGGAAACGAUAGCUAAUACCGCAUAACAAUAGGUGACACAUGUCAUUUAUUUGAAAGGGGCAAUUGCUCCACUACAAGAUGGACCUGCGUUGUAUUAGCUAGUAGGUGAGGUAACGGCUCACCUAGGCGACGAUACAUAGCCGACCUGAGAGGGUGAUCGGCCACACUGGGACUGAGGCACGGCCCAGACUCCUACGGGAGGCAGCAGUAGGGAAUCUUCGGCAAUGGGGGCAACCCUGACCGAGCAACGCCGCGUGAGUGAAGAAGGUUUUCGGAUCGUAAAGCUCUGUUGUAAGUCAAGAACGAGUGUGAGAGUGGAAAGUUCACACUGUGACGGUAGCUUACCAGAAAGAGACGGCUAACUACGUG